AUGAGUCUCCGAACCUUCCUUCCAGCGAGCGAUCCGGCACUGUGCUUCACAUUUUUGCCCUCACUGCUGACGCGCUGUGCCGUGGGCCUCCAUCCCACCAUCGCGCCUUACUGACUUCCUCACCUAAGUGCUGAGCGGGAGAGAGCAGCGGAGGAGAUAAUAACGGAGAUACAAGCAAAAAGAGUUGAGGAGCAGCAGCAGCAGCAGCAGCAUGGCAGAGCAGAGGCCUGGGGUGGGAGGAAGAAGGCAGUGUGCUUGUCGAGUUUGUCACCAAGCAGGACCAAUACACAGUGCCGGGCACCUCGGUGCUGGUGGGAGUGAACAGCAACCUUGCUAGGCAGAAUGAAAUAGUCCACGUGUUCAUCAGAUAAGCCCGUCACUUGGCACAAACAUUGAUUACUGAUUCCUGCCAUCCACUCCUAAAUGAUGCAAAAAUUGAGAAAUAAUAAGUGAUAGAAAGGAGGAAGAGGAUAAGACAGAUGAUAAUAAGGAGGAAAGAAAGAUAAGGAGAGAGAGAAGACAAAGAAGGAAGAGCACAUGAGAGAAGAAUGAGGAUUAUAGAAGAAGAAGAAAAAAAAAGAAAGAAGAUAGAGGAGAGAGAAAGACAGAAAAGAUAAAGAAAUAAAAGAAAAUAUAUUCUCCCCCCCUCCUCUCUCUCUCUCUCUCUCUCUCUCUCUCUCUCUCUCUCUCUCUCUCUCUCUCUCUCUCUCUCUUCAUGCGUAGGAGAGGAACCUGGUCAGUUCCUGUGAGAAAUUUUGCAACAUUUUCUGUUCAAGCAAGAGUUCACGAAAGACGUCCUAAAAAGUGCAAAUGACUGGAUGGUCUGGGAAGUAUUCACUCUGGAAAUACAGUGAGGGGUUAAUAAAAGGAAGAAUAUUGGGAA